rnacentral:lncRNA from 1 species
ACCAAAACCAGGCAGCGUGGUUUGCUGUUUUGAUAACCACUAUCUUUUUCCAUCACAGUGAAGGUCAUCUUAUGAACCUCUGACAUUUGAUGAUCAUUAUGUCAAAAGCCUUUUGGGGUACUCAGACCCUUAGACUCUACAUGACUGGCCCAUGCUGGAAAAUAGAGUGUGGUUGUCUGCCACCUGUUUUGGACAGAAACAGAUACCUUUAGGACACUGAGGGGAUGGCUUAGACUGUUGACCUGGAGCUGGAAGUUGUCCCCUGAAUAAUCACUUCAUCUCUGGCACCAGCUAAGGGUAUGUGUUGUAACCUUAUGGAACUCUCUUAUUAAACUAGUUGAAAGGGGAGUGUGGGUUUUGUUUGGCUUUUUUAUUUUUCCCAAUAAUUCUAACAGGAGGUUGUUCCAGUCUUUAGCAGUUGCCCAUCUCAAG